rnacentral:rRNA from 1 species
AGGAUAAACGCUGGCGGCGUGCCUAACACAUGCAAGUCGAACGUCCUACGCAAGUAGGGAGUGGCGGACGGGUGAGUAACACGUGGGCAAUCUACCUUUCGGUGAGGAAUACCGGCGAGAAAUCGCCGACAAUACCGCAUACGCUUCGCAAGAAGCAAAGUCGCAAGACGCCGGAGGAGGAGCCUGCGCCCGAUUAGCUGGUUGGUGAGGUAAAAGCCCACCAAGGCGUCGAUCGGUAGCUGGUCUGAGAGGAUGAUCAGCCACACUGGGAUUGAGAGCGGCCCAGACUCCUACGGGGGGCAGCAGUGAGGAAUUUUCGUCAAUGGGGGAAACCCUGAACGAGCAACGCCGCGUGCAGGACGACGCUUCUCGGAGUGUAAACUGCUUUUCUCGGGGAAGAGAACGGACGGUACCCGAGGAAUCAGCCCCGGCUAACUACGUGCCAGCAGCCGC